UUCGGCCCCUCGUGCGACAGCAUCCAGGCCAACUCCCCCAGGGCGGAGACGCAGCAAGGGUAACCGGGCUCUGCCGGGUGCGCGAGGGGCCGCUUUC
rnacentral:SRP_RNA from 1 species